rnacentral:rRNA from 1 species
GACGAACGCUGGCGGCGUGCUUAACACAUGCAAGUCGAACGGAAAGGCCCUGCUUUUGUGGGGUGCUCGAGUGGCGAACGGGUGAGUAACACGUGAGUAACCUGCCCUUGACUUUGGGAUAACUUCAGGAAACUGGGGCUAAUACCGGAUAGGAGCUCCUGCUGCAUGGUGGGGGUUGGAAAGUUUCGGCGGUUGGGGAUGGACUCGCGGCUUAUCAGCUUGUUGGUGGGGUCGUGGCUUACCAAGGCUUUGACGGGUAGCCGGCCUGAGAGGGUGACCGGCCACAUUGGGACUGAGAUACGGCCCAGACUCCUACGGGAGGCAGCAGGGGGGAAUAUUGCACAAUGGGCGGAAGCAUGAUGCAGCAACGCCGCGUGCGGGAUGACGGCCUUCGGGUUGUAAACCGCUUUCGCCUGUGACGAAGCGUGAGUGACGGUAAUGGGUAAAGAAGCACCGGCUAACUACGUG